CUCUAGCUUCUCUCUUCGAAA
rnacentral:misc_RNA from 1 species